GGAUUCCCCUAGUAACUGCGAGUGAAGCGGGAAAAGCUCAAAUUUAAAAUCUGGCAGUCUUUGGUUGCCCGAGUUGUAGUCUGGAGAAGUGUUUUUCUGUGCUGGACCGUGUAUAAGUCUCUUGGAAUAGAGCGUCAUAGAGGGUGAGAAUCCCGUCUUUGACACGGACUACCAGUGCUUUGUGAUGCACUCUCAAAGAGUCGAGUUGUUUGGGAAUGCAGCUCAAAAUGGGUGGUAAAUUCCAUCUAAAGCUAAAUAUUGGCGAGAGACCGAUAGCGAACAAGUACCGUGAGGGAAAGAUGAAAAGCACUUUGGAAAGAGAGUUAAACAGUACGUGAAAUUGCUGAAAGGGAAACGCUUAAAGUCAGUCAUGUCAUUUGGAACUCAACCUUGCUUUUUUGCUUGGUGCACUUUCUGAAUGAUGGGCCAGCAUCAAUUUUGACUGUUGGAAAAGGGCUGGGGGAAUGUGGCAUCCUUUGGAUGUGUUAUAGCCUCUGGUCACAUACAAUGGUUGGGAUUGAGGAUUGCAGCGCGCCGCAAGGCAGGGGUUCCCCCACUUUCGCGCUUAGGAUGCUGGCAUAAUGACUUUAAACGACCCGUCUUGAAACACGGACCAAGGAGUCUAACAUGCCUGCGAGUGUUUGGGUGGAAAAACCCAAGCGCGUAAUGAAAGUGAAAG
rnacentral:rRNA from 1 species